UUGUUUCCUUUUUCUUUCUCUUCCCCUUCCCUUCUUCUUCCAGCCGCCAGCCCCCCAUCUCCACCUUUCUCUCUCGCGCCUCUCCCUCUCUGCAAUCCACACGUCCGCCCAACCGUCACUGGAUCUGAAGCCGUUUGAUGGAUCUAAAGUCGUUCGUCGAAUUUGCAGGUCGGAUCUGAAGCCAUUCGUCGCAGCUCUGUUCGUUGCCGCGCCGUCGCUCGACUGAAGAUUUGAAGCCAUUCGCUGCAGCUCUAUUCCUUCGGGUUGCGUUCAACCGACCAUCCAAUGACCGCUUCUCAGAUCUGGCCGAUGCCCAUCAAUCUUUUCGUUGUCGGACGCUGCCGCUUGGGUUUUCGCUAGAUCUUGAGUUUUGGCCUAAGUUUUUGGGUUUUUCUUGAAAAUUUAUCCAUUUAAAUGUUUGUCCAAUACUUAUUUAACCCAUAAAUUUUAGAUGAUGGAUUCACGAAUUUGAGGAUAUUAAACCGCCAUCCAAUAGUGUUUGAGGUUCGAUUUUGGUGUUUUGGGUUAAAUUUGAUUUGCCUUUAGGUUUUGGGGCCUGAACUUGAAUUCUUGGAAGGAGUUGUGUAGGCAAAAGUUUGAGAUCUAGAGGUGGUUUUGGGUCAAACCACUACUGGGUAAGGUGCGUCGUUAAUUUUUUGGGAGAAGGAAGUUGUUAGUGCAUCAACCACACAUGAGGAAGGGAAGAAGGUGAGGAAUGUGAUCGAGUUUUGUAGCAUGCAAAAAGUGAAGACUUUAUCAAUGGUGGCUUAAUAUCGCGGCAAUGACCAUUUUUCAGUAAAA